rnacentral:rRNA from 1 species
UACGGGGGGGGCAAGCGUUGUUCGGAAUUACUGGGCGUAAAGCGCGUGUAGGCGGUUCCGCAAGUCAGGUGUGAAAGCCCAGGGCUCAACCCUGGAAGUGCACUUGAUACUACGGAGCUUGAGUACUGAAGAGGAGAGCGGAAUUCCCGGUGUAGAGGUGAAAUUCGUAGAUAUCGGGAGGAACACCAGUGGCGAAGGCGGCUCUCUAGUACGGUACUGACGCUGAGACGCGAAAGCGUGGGGAGCGAACAGG